UCUGGCCAGGAGACCUCCAGCACCUUCACCUCAUCGUUUCCUAAGAGUCAAGAGUCAGAAGCAUCACAAAUUGGCUUCCAGUACUCUUUCUCCCUCUGGUUGGUACAGAGGGACAUGACAACGUCACAGCGUGUGUGUCUCUGACAACUGUGUUUAUGUAACUCUCAUCAAAAGAUAGAAUAAGCAGAUGUUUUUAGCUUACUACAGUUUUAGACUGAAACUGAUGGUCAUGUUGUCAUGUCUCCUGACCUGUUCCUCUCCCCUGUGGCUCUGCAGCAUCUCCCACAUUAAGCUCCUGAAUUGACGGGUCUGCAGCAGUUCUCCUUGACACCCUGCAAAAAGAUAAUUCAAAAUUUAAAAAACAUGUUGCUUUUCACAUCUGUGCAUGAUAAGCAGUAAAAGUCUACCUGAACAGUCUGUUUGGGGCAUUUCCUCUGUAGGCAAUGUUGUUAAAAAACACCUCCAACUCCCUGUCAUUAUCAAAGUCAGCGGCGAUGACUGUGCGAACGGGGGAGAAGGUGGCAAAUCCCUGAGUUGCAAUGUUCUGCAAAAAAGAGAUCAUAUACAUUUUUGUUUGUAUCAAAUUUGUAUCCGAUAUUAUCGACAAUAUCCCACCGUCUCCUUCCUUACCCGGAAUUUAGAGUCACUGUCCUGCAGGAAAAGCCUGUGUGGGCCGUUCCAGUUGCCAUAGACGAUGUCCGUCUUUCCAUCACCAUUGAAGUCAGCGAGGGCUACUCCUCUGCCAUGCUGCCAUCUGUCCUCCACGCCUAAGAAUAUGGAAGCGGUGUAAAUGCUUAUGUAUGUGUGUACUGUAAUGUUUCAUAGUUUUGGGAGUAUUUAGUGACAUCUAGUGGUAUUAAAAAAAGACACUGUGACAUUUAACAGUGCUCACGUUGGUAUCCAUCUAUUACUUAUUACAAAACAGUUUAGGUUUUUUGUACGUACGUGGAUAUGAAAUAUGAAAAUGUAUUUUUGGGGUCCAAAUUCAGUUGAUAAGGAAUUGGUCAAACUAAGCUGAAGUUGCAUUUAGUUUUUAUAAUUAUAAUAAUUAAACUUUUGUCAUUUGCGGCUUUGAGGAAAUGUUUGGGAACCUGUCGUUGAAAUUAAGACUUUCAUCUACUUUUUGAACAUUUUUGGAUAACGUUUAAGUUGAUUUAAUGAAGAAAAUAAGUAAUGUUUUUGAAUUGGAAUCAGCUUACGAGUUCGAAAGGCCGACACACUUGUUUGUAGAAAAUGAUACUGUUAAUAAAUUUGAAAAGAAGGUUGAACACCA